rnacentral:rRNA from 1 species
AAUCUAUCGUACCCACACCGCGAAAAAACUUUUGCCCUUCUGGACAUGGCAGGCUUCAAGGCUGCCCUUCAGUUGCGCAGGUCAGGGGCUGGCUCCUUUUGGUGUCAGUUGACUUGACUGGGCGGGUCCAAUACCAGCCGGAUUCCCCUUGCCUAUGGGCAAGGGGUUUUGCCGGCUGUGAGGGGUGGCGGUUAACUCACUUUAAGCAAUCAACUCUGAAGACAGACCUAUUGGCUGGCACUGCUGGCUGUGGGCUGAAAAASUACASAC